rnacentral:sRNA from 1 species
AUUUUAGUUUUUCAUAUAAGUAUACGAUGAAUUAUUACUAUGUGAUAUAUCUUUUAU